AAGUGCAUAUGAUGGAUGCCUUGGCGAUCACAGGCGAUGAAGGACGCGGUAGCCUGCGAAAAGCUACGGGGAGCUGGCAAACAAGCUUUGAUCCGUAGAUGUCCGAAUGGGGAAACCCACCGUAGUAAUACGGUAUCCCAUGCUGAAUACAU
rnacentral:rRNA from 1 species